rnacentral:rRNA from 1 species
GAUGAACGCUGACAGAAUGCUUAACACAUGCAAGUCGAUGGGGAAGUGGUGCUUGCACCAUGGUAACCAUGGCGGACGGGUGAGUAACGCGUAAGGAACUUGCCUGCGGGACUGGGAUAACAGCAGGAAACUGCUGAUAAUACCGGAUAAGGUCAUUAAGCUGCAUAGCUUAGUGAUGAAAGGAGACGCCUGCGGAGAGCCUUGCGUCCUAUUAGCUAGUUGGAGGGGUAACGGCCCACCAAGGCGAAGAUAGGUAGCCGGCCUGAGAGGGUGGACGGCCACAAGGGGACUGAGAUACGGCCCUUACUCCUACGGGAGGCAGCAGUGGGGAAUAUUGGACAAUGGGGGCAACCCUGAUCCACCAAUUCUGUGUGCACGAAGACGGUUUUCGGAUUGUAAAGUGCUUUCAGCAGGGAAGAAGGAAGUGACGGUACCUGCAGAAGAAGCGACGGCUAAAUACGUG